rnacentral:lncRNA from 1 species
AGUAGGCAGCUUCAGUCCUGGUAUGGGCUGUAGCAAGUACUGCUGCUGCUGUCCAUCCCUUCUGCCCACAGGGCAGAAGAAAAUGGAAAACAAAGACAAACAAACCAAAGAAGGCGGAUGAAGUAGAAGCCAUUCAUUCUUUCCAUGAACAUUGACCCUAUAUCCUGAAGGUGGAUCCAAUGAAAAAAGAGAAGCAGCAAGAGUGGCUUCUGUUUCCCUGGCUGGACUCUGAGUAAUAUAGCAGCAAUAAUUUCCCAAGGGAAAGGAGGAAGACGGGUUGGCUCCAAUGAAGACACUUAUGAUGUGAAGAGUUCCCGUAACAGUUCACCAUCUCUGGGGCAGUUAUACAACAGGGAUCCCUGACUUCUUCAGAACCGAGAGUUCAAAUCAGGACUAUCUGGUGAUGAAUCUAUCCACUAGAAGCUGAUAUGAAGAGUCAGGUCACUAGAAAACAGAAUAUCAUGUGAUUGUGUUUGACUGCACAACUGGUCUCUAUCAAUAUCUAUGCCUGAAGAGGAAGAAUGUUUGCCUAGUAAGGCCAUUAAUAUUGGCAAAUCUUGCAUAGACACAAGUGGUUGUAAUUCUUACUACCAUUAAGACAGUAGAUGGAUGGCUUUGAAUUUGGGCCAAGUGAGCAAAGGCAGCCCCUCCCUCUCUACGUUCCAGCCGUUUUGCUCACUGUGAGGACUCAGCUGUGACACGUAGAGAUGGGGUUUUACCAUAUUGGCCAGGAUGGUCUUGAUUUCUUGACCUCAUGAUCUGCCCGCCUCGGCUUCCCAAAGUCUGGGGAUUACAGGUGUGAGCCACCGCGCCCGGCCAGAAAG